GACGAACGUUGGCGGCGCGCUUAACACAUGCACGUCGAACGGAAAGGCCCUGCUUUUGCGGGGUGCUCGAGUGGCGACCGGGUGGGUAACACGUGAGUAACCUGCCCUUGACUGUGGGAUAACUUCAGGAAACUGGGGCUAAUACCGGAUAGGAGCUCCUGCUGCAUGCUGGGGGUUGGAAAGGUUCGGCGGUUGGGGAAGUACUCGCGGCUUAGCAGCUUGCUGGUGGGGUAGUGGCUUACCAGGGCUUUGACGGGUAGCCGGCCUGUGAGGGUGACGGGCCGCAUUGGGACUGAGGUCCGGGCGAGAGUCCUACGGGAGGGAGCAGUGGGGUAUAGUGCAGAAUGGGCGGAAGCCUGAUGCAGCACGGCCGCGGGCGGAGUGAGGGCCGUCGCAUAGUAUCCCGGUUUCGUUUGUUAGGAACCGUUGGUGGCGGUAAUGGGUAAACAAGGUGCGGAUAACUCCGUG
rnacentral:rRNA from 1 species